rnacentral:tRNA from 1 species
AGAAACUUAGGUUACCUAAACCGAAGGCCUUCAAAGCCUUAAACAAGAGUUAGCCCUCUUAGUUUCUG